rnacentral:tRNA from 1 species
GACCGCGUAGCUCAGUUGCAUGGCAGAGCAUUGGACUAGUAUUCCAAAGGUCGUAGGUUCGAUUCCCACCGUGGCCA